GGCCACAUCCCGUUGAAACACUGGUUCUCAUACGAUCACUGAAGUUAGGCAACGUUGAACCAAGUCAGUACAUAGAUGGGUGACCGCUUGCGAAUACCAGAUGCUGUAAG